AUCUGGCUCCUUCGGAGUCCGAGUUGUAAUUUGUAGAAGAUGCUUUGGGUUGUGGGUUCGGCCUAAGUUCCUUGGAACAGGACGUCAUAGAGGGUGAGAAUCCCGUAUGUGGCCGAGGCCUGCGCCUAUGUAAAGCUCUUUCGACGAGUCGAGUUGUUUGGGAAUGCAGCUCAAAAUGGGUGGUAAAUUUCAUCUAAAGCUAAAUAUGGGCCAGAGACCGAUAGCGCACAAGUAGAGUGAUCGAAAGAUGAAAAGCACUUUGGAAAGAGAGUUAAACAGUACGUGAAAUUGUUGAAAGGGAAGCGCUUGCAACCAGACUUGGGCGCUGCCGAUCACCCCGAGUUCUCUCAGGUGCACUCGACAGCGCACAGGCCAGCAUCGGUUCGGAUGGUUGGAUAAAGGCCGUAGGAACGUAGCUCCCUUCGGGGAGUGUUAUAGCCUACGGUGCCAUGCAGCCCAACCGGACCGAGGACCGCGCCUUCGGGCUAGGAUGCUGGCGUAAUGGUUGUAAGCGACCCGUCUUGAAACACGGACCAAGGAGUCUAACAUCUAUGCGAGUGUUUGGGCGUUAAACCCAUACGCGGAAUGAAAGUGAACGUAGGUGAGAACCCCUUUGGGGCGCAUCAUCGACCGAUCCUGAUGUCUUCGGAUGGAUUUGAGUAAGAGCAUA
rnacentral:rRNA from 1 species